GAGAAUCAGAUCCCUCGAAUGUCCGCUUGACAAAGAUCCUCAAAUAGAGUCGAAGCAAACCAUCGGUGACCGGCCUACAUUAAGCAACACCAACUGAGCGAAAAAACUCCAAUGAACUCCCAAUUGUUCUUCUCCGUGUAAUCGAACAACCAAAUCGUCAUCAAACGCACAAACAAAUAAACUCACAGAAUUUCUCCUUUUAGAUCAUUCUAUUGAACAGUGAUCUCCAAAAUCAAGCCUCCUGCAACUAAUAAAAAAUAGAACCCCCAA